rnacentral:lncRNA from 1 species
AUUUAUCAAAUUUAUCAAGAUGAUUGGUGGUUAUGCAUAAUCACCAAUUAAUCACUUUUACUGUAACAGAUACAUUAAGUAGCUACAAAGAUAUCAUACCCUUAGGUUGAUUCUUCCUUGAUUGCAAAUAUUCUGGCAUGCAUUUAUUCAUUCUCAUACAUAUACAAUUACCAGCAUACAUCAUUCUUACAGUCACAAGUAACUAUUUAUUAGCAUCAUAUUCUCUCAACACUUUUCUACAGCUUAUUUCUAUUCAUUUUGUCAUAAUGCUUCUCAUGAUCACAGAAUUACAGACUCCCCUUUUCUCGUAUAGAGAUACUUCACUGCAGUCAGAUGCAUUGAGAAAAAUCUAAUUUAUAUAUAAAUUUUCAUUCUUAAAGCCAUACUGCAUAUCUUAUAUAUCAUCAUUAGUCACAUUCUCUUUUGCAAUCAGUCUUACUAAAUAACCUUAUCACCUAUGGUUAGCAGAUUUAUAUCCCUAUAAUUGUUGCAAUCAUUUCUCUCAUCUUUUCCAUUGUUGAUGGGAACAAUCGCAGUCAUAAUUCAAUUGCUUGAAACUGUAAUCAUAUAUCCAAUGCAGUUUGCAUAGAGCAUUGAAUUCCAAAAUAGAUUUUUCCAUCAUAUUUUAACAUCUUG